GGGGCGAGGGUCUGGCAGUGGUACGCGGCCGGGGGUCUGCAUGCCUAAGCGAGCCCGUGUCCUCUCGACUCCCUCUUCUCCCUUUUGUUCCCCUCUCCCACACCAUGGCUGCCCGCCUUUCCCCCACGCUGGUGCUGGACGAGGCCUUGGAGAGCGACUCAGAGCCAGCGCUCAGGGGAAAUAUGACGAAAACCCCCUGAGCGAGGCUGAAGGUUCCAGGGGAGGCGUCAAAGAGCGAGGAGGAGGAGGAAGAUGGGGCCCGAGUGCCGCUGCCAGCGGUGUCCCUGGUGAUCUUCUCACUGCUGCAGCAGUGAGGGGGGAAAGUGCAGGGCGGCUGCAGGGGGCUGUGGUGGAGGUAUUGGAGUGCAGUUUGAGAGGGGCCGUGCAGCUGCUGGAAGGCCUCUGGAAGCCCCUGGGCUGAGCCCGAGCUGAGGCGGCUGCCUGUCUUGUGAAAACAAAAGUUAGUGGAAAAUUGGUGUGAAGGUUCAACCUCUACUGCUUUCCCACCAACAUCCAACUCUGUUGUUGUGGGCAAACAGGAGGCAUUACCUUUGGAGCAGUCCUCAUUAAAUGUAUAGUAUAGGACUGUAAGGCAACGUAAUAAAAUGCAUAAACUGGUUUGCCGUAACCUGAGCUGGCGCGGCGCUGCGCCCUCCCUGUCCCUGCUUUCAGCCCGGGUCGGGUUCGCAGCACACUGAUGAGAGGAGCGGCUGCACUGCAAUGCAAGCUGUGCUGGGCCACGGUUUGGACAUGGCUGCUCUGAACAGCUGGACGUCUGCCCUCCGGAAGUCCAGGACAGCAGUUCUGCUGACCCCCCUGUAUCCCAUGCAGACUGUGUAAACACUUGGAAGAUCCACCCCUUGGAGGCCCUGACUUCCACACAGACCCUGUAACGAAUGAAAGCCCAUCUUAUUGACAAGCUGUAUCUUGUGGAGACCCUACCCCCCGUGGGGACCCCAUAACCCUUGGAGCCCAGCCCCACUGACAACCUAUACCUCAUGAAGACCCCCUGGAGACACAUAAUCCUGUGUAGAACCCACCUCCUCAGGCCCCACUCUGUCAGACCCAGACCCCAUCCUUGCAGCUUGGGCCCAACGUGGCCGAUAUCCCAGAUGACCUUGUGUAUCAUGCACAUUACCACCUCCCGCUCCCUUGAGGCCAACACAACGGUGGAAUUAUGUCAAUAAGCAUUUGAUACUUUGGUACUUUUAA